AUCCUUUUGUAGUACGUGAGCAUGAUGAUCGGGUGUUCGCACUGUCGUGUGACAUGUGCCUCCCUCAAACCUUGUUGCGACGUUGGCACGCUACCCGUCUGACG
ensembl:snoRNA